rnacentral:rRNA from 1 species
UGUGUUCAAGUUUUUAAGGGCAUACGGUGGAUGCCUUGGCAUCAGGAGCCGAUGAAGGACGUGGGAGCCUGCGAUAUGCCUCGGGGAGUCGGCAACCAGACUUUGAUCCGGGGAUUUCCGAAUGGGGAAACCUGGCACCCGUCAUGGGGUGUCGCCGCCGUCUGAAUGUAUAGGGCGGUUGGUGGGAACGCGGGGAAGUGAAACAUCUCAGUACCCGCAGGAAGAGAAAACAAUAGUGAUUCCGUGAGUAGUGGUGAGCGAAAGCGGAUCAGCCUAAACCGUGCGCGUGUGAUAGCCGGCAGGCGUUGCGUGUGCGGGGUUGUGGGACCAUCCUGCUGGAUCUACCGCGCUGACAAGAAGUUACAAACCGCUUGGGUAGUCGAACGGUAUGGGAAGGCCGACCGUAGACGGUGAGAGUCCGGUAGACGAAACUGAGAUGGCUUCUGGGUGUGUUCCCGAGUAGCACGGGGCCCGUGAAAUCCCGUGUGAAUCUGCCACGACCACGUGGUAAGGCUGAAUACUUCCUGGUGACCGAUAGCGGACUAGUACCGUGAGGGAAAGGUGAAAAGUGCCCCGGUGAGGGGUCGUGAAAGAGUACCUGAAACCGUGUGCCUACAAGCCGUCAGAGCCUCCUCAGUGUUUCUUUGGAGAUGCUGUUGGUGAUGGCGUGCCUUUUGAAGAAUGAGCCUGCGAGUUAUGGUGUGUGGCGAGGUUAACCGGUGGCGGGUAGCCGUAGCGAAAGCGAGUCUGAAUAGGGCGUUUUUAGUCGCAUGCUGUAGACCCGAAGCGGGGUGAUCUAGCCAUGGGCAGGGUGAAGCGCCGGUAAGACGGUGUGGAGGCCCGAACCCACCAGGGUUGAAAACCUGGGGGAUGACCUGUGGUUAGGGGUGAAAGGCCAAUCAAACUCCGUGAUAGCUGGUUCUCCCCGAAAUGCAUUUAGGUGCAGCGUUGCGUGUUUCUUGCCGGAGGUAGAGCUACUGGAUGGCUGAUGGGCCCUACAAGGUUACUGACGUCAGCCAAACUCCGAAUGCCGGUAAGUGAGAGCGUGGCAGUGAGACUGCGGGGGAUAAGCUUCGUAGUCGAGAGGGAAACAGCCCAGAUCAUCGGCUAAGGCCCCUAAGCGUGUGCUAAGUGGGAAAGGAUGUGGAGUUGCCUUGACAACCAGGAGGUUGGCUUAGAAGCAGCCAUCCUUGAAAGAGUGCGUAAUAGCUCACUGGUCAAGUGAUUCCGCGCCGACAAUGUAGCGGGGCUCAAGCACACCGCCGAAGCCGUGGCACU